UGAGUAACCUGCCCUUAACUCUGGGAUAAGCCUGGGAAACUGGGUCUAAUACCGGAUACGACCUCAGCGGACAUCUGCAUGAGGUGGAAAGCUCCGGCGGUCAUGGAUGGGCUCGCGGCCUAUCAGCUUGUUGGUGAGGUAACGGCUCACCAAGGCGUCGACGGGUAGCCGGCCUGAGAGGGCGACCGGCCAUACUGGGACUGAGACACGGCCCAGACUCCUACGGGAGGNAG
rnacentral:rRNA from 1 species